CCCAGACUCCUACGGGAGGCAGCAGUGGGGAAUAUUGCACAAUGGGGGAAACCCUGAUGCAGCGACGCCGCGUGGGUGAAGAAGCGCCUCGGCGCGUAAAGCCCUGUCAGCAGGGAAGAAAAUGACGGUACCUGAAGAAGAAGCCCCGGCUAACUACGUGCCAGCAGCCGCGGUAAUACGUAGGGGGCAAGCGUUAUCCGGAUUUACUGGGUGUAAAGGGGGCGCAGACGGCGAUGCAAGCCAGGAGUGAAAGCCCGGGGCCCAACCCCGGGACUGCUCUUGGAACUGCGUGGCUGUAGUGCAGGAGGGGCAGGCGGAAUUCCUGGUGUAGCGGUGAAAUGCGUAGAUAUCAGGAGGAACACCGGUGGCGAAGGCGGCCUGCUGGACUGCAACUGACGUUGAGGCCCGAAAGCGUGGGGAGCAAACAGGAUUAGAUACCCCAGUACA
rnacentral:rRNA from 1 species